CGGGGUGUAGCUCAAUUGGCAGAGCGCUUGCUUCGGGAGCAAGAGGUUCGCGGUUCAAGUCCGCGCACCCCGA
rnacentral:tRNA from 1 species